rnacentral:rRNA from 1 species
AGUGAACGCUGGCGGUAGGCCUAACACAUGCAAGUCGAACGGCAGCACAGUAAGAGCUUGCUCUUACGGGUGGCGAGUGGCGGACGGGUGAGGAAUACAUCGGAAUCUACUUUUUCGUGGGGGAUAACGCAGGGAAACUUACGCUAAUACCGCAUACGACCUACGUGUGAAAGCAGGGGAUCUUCGGACCUUGCGCGAUUGAAUGAGCCGAUGUCGGAUUAGCUAGUUGGCGGGGCAAAGGCCCACCAAGGCGACGAUCCGUAGCUGGUCUGAGAGGAUGAUCAGCCACACUGGAACUGAGACACGGUCCAGACUCCUACGGGAGGCAGCAGUGGGGAAUAUUGGACAAUGGGCGCAAGCCUGAUCCAGCCAUACCGCGUGGGUGAAGAAGGCCUUCGGGUUGUAAAGCCCUUUUGUUGGGAAAGAAAAGCAGCAGGUUAAUACCCCGCUGUUCUGACGGUACCCAAAGAAUAAGCACCGGCUAACUUCGUG